UACGUAGGGACCAAGCGUUGUCCGGAAUCAUUGGGCGUAAAGCGCGCGUAGGUGGCCUCAUAAGUCCGCUGUGAAAGUCAAAGGCUCAACCUUUGAAAGCCGGUGGAUACUGUGGGGCUAGAGUACGGAAGAGGCGAGUGGAAUUCCUGGUGUAGCGGUGGAAUGCGCAGAUAUCAGGAGGAACACCAAUAGCGAAGGCAGCUCGCUGGGACGUUACUGACACUGAGGCGCGAAAGCGUGGGGAGCGAACAGG
rnacentral:rRNA from 1 species